rnacentral:rRNA from 1 species
GCGUCUGGAAAGUCGCAGGGUACAGGGUGAUACUCCCGUACACUAAAACACACAGGUUGUGAACUCGAAGAGUAGGGCGGGACACGUGGUAUCCUGUCUGAAUAUGGGGGGACCAUCCUCCAAGGCUAAAUACUCCUGACUGACCGAUAGUGAACCAGUACCGUGAGGGAAAGGCGAAAAGAACCCCGGCGAGGGGAGUGAAAAAGAACCUGAAACCGUGUACGUACAAGCAGUAGGAGCCCACUAGUUGGGUGACUGCGUACCUUUUGUAUAAUGGGUCAGCGACUUAUAUUCUGUAGCAAGGUUAACCGUAUAGGGGAGCCGCAGGGAAACCGAGUCUUAACUGGGCGUUAAGUUGCAGGGUAUAGACCCGAAACCCGGUGAUCUAGCCAUGGGCAGGUUGAAGGUUGGGUAACACUAACUGGAGGACCGAACCGACUAAUGUUGAAAAAUUAGCGGAUGACUUGUGGCUGGGGGUGAAAGGCCAAUCAAACCGGGAGAUAGCUGGUUCUCCCCGAAAGCUAUUUAGGUAGCGCCUCGUGAACUCAUCUUCGGGGGUAGAGCACUGUUUCGGCUAGGGGGUCAUCCCGACUUACCAACCCGAUGCAAACUACGAAUACCGAAGAAUGUUAUCACGGGAGACACACGGCGGGUGCUAACGUCCGUCGUGAAGAGGGAAACAACCCAGACCGCCAGCUAAGGUCCCAAAGUCAUGGUUAAGUGGGAAACGAUGUGGGAAGGCCCAGACAGCCAGGAUGUUGGCUUAGAAGCAGCCAUCAUUUAAAGAAAGCGUAAUAGCUCACUGGUCGAGUCGGCCUGCGCGGAAGAUGUAACGGGGCUAAACCAUG